AUUGUGCUAAAUUUUGUCACGAAGAGAUUUGUUGUUGUGAAUGUCCCGGAUAGUCGGAGUUUUAAGCGCACCUAUAUGUCCGGGGGCUCAUAACCAUUCCGUCAAAACUUCUGGUAAAUGUAACUGCGAUUCGACUGGCCUCGCAUUGAAAAAAAUGGCGGGAGCUCUAACCAGAGCGGGGUUUCGACACAAGGGUACACGAGGCGAUGGUUAGCCAGUGUUUGGUGCAAGUGCAAAUGGGUGCAAGUCUUCGGCAAAUGCAAAAGGGUGAUGCUGCAGCAAACCAAGUCUCGUAGACUUCUCCGAAAAGACUAAUUCCGUUGCAUAUUUGAUUAUGGAGCCUACCAAUAUCUCUUGGAGGUUCAACCAAAUGUCAUCAAAACAUUUCACGACGAUAUCUCUUGGAGGUUCAACCAGAAGUCAUCAAAACAUUUUAGAAAGAUAUCUCUUGGAGGUUCAACCAGAAGUCAUCAAAACAUUUUAGAAAGAUAUCUCUUGGAGGUUCAACCAGAAGUCAUCAAAACAUUUUAGAAAGAUAUCUCUUGGAGGUUCAACCAGAAGUCAUCAAAACAUUUUAGAAAGGUAUUUUCUUAGCAUUUUUGGUUCUUUUAGAUAUCUCUUGGAGGUUCAACCAGAAGUCAUCAAAACAUUUUAGAAAGAUAUCUCUUGGAGGUUCAACCAGAAGUCAUCAAAACAUUUUAGAAAGAUAUCUCUUGGAGGUUCAACCAAAGGUCAUCAAAACAUUUUAGAAAGAUAUCUCUUCGAGAUUCAACCAAAGGUCAUCAAAACAUUUUAGAAAGGUAUUUUCUUGGCAUUUUCCGUUCUUUUGAGUAAAAAUAAAUUUUUGAAAAAUUUCAGAUUUUUUGAACUUUUUUGCAGGUCCGGGGUCAUGAAACUUUUCAAAAAUGACUAAGUCCUUAUCUUUAAAAUAAGUGCCUAAAAUUCACCAAAACUGCCCGAAAUGUUUUUCGUAAGGUGUAUUAAGACUCUCUUGUUUGUUUCGAGUAAAUAAAGAUUUUUGAAAAAUUUCAGAUUUUUUGAACUUUUUUGCAGGUCCGGGGUCAUGAAACUUUUCAAAAAUGACUAAAUCCUUAUCUUUAUAAUAAGUGCCUAAAAUUCACCAAAACUGCCCGAAAUAUUUUUCGCAACGUGUUUUAAGACUCUCUUGUUUGUUUCGAGUAAAAAAAAAUUUUUGAAAAAUUUCAGAUUUUUUAAACUUUUUUGCAGGUCCAGGGUCAUGAAAUUUUUCAAAAAUGACUAAGUCGUUAUCUUUAAAAUAAGAGUCUAAAAUUCACCAAAACUGCCCGAAAUGUUCUUCGGAACGUUAAGUAAGACUCUUUCGGUUGUGUCGAGUAAAAAAAAAAUUUUCAAAAAUUUCAGAUUUUCUGAACUUUUUUGCAGGUCCGGGGUCAUGAAAUUUUUCAAAAAUUACUAAGUCGUUAUCUUUAAAAUAAGAGCCUAUAAUUCACCCAAACUACCCGAAAGGUUCUUCGGAACGUGUAUUAAGACUCUCUUGGUUGUUUUGAGUAAAAAAUUGUUUUUGAAAACUUCAGAACUUUUUCGUGUUUUUCAAGCUUUAGCCUCAACCUUUUCAGGUAUAUUAUUUCUUACUUUUUUCAAGUUAUCUCUUAGAGUUUCAACCAAAGGUCAUCAAAACAUUUUAAAAAGAUAUCUCUUGGAGUUUCAACCAAAGGUCAUCAAAACAUUUUAAAAAGGUAUUUUCUUAGCAUUUCUGGUUCUUUAGAGUGAAAGAAAAUUUUCGAAAAAUUUCAGAUUUUUUGAACUUUUUUUCAGGUCCGGGGUCAUGAAACUUUUCAAAAAUGACUAAGUGCUUAUCUUUAAAAUAAGAGCCUAAAAUUCACCGAAACUACCCGAGAUGUUUUUAGCAACGUAUAUUUAGACUCUCUUGGUUGUUUCGAGUAAAAAAAAAUUUUUGAAAAAUUUCAGAUUUUUUUAACUUUUUUGCUAGUCCGAGAUCAUGAAAUUUUUCAAAAAUGACUAAGUCCUUAUCUUUAACAUAAGAGCCUAAAAUUCACCGAAACUGCCCGAAAUGUUCUUCGGAACGUUAAUUAAUACUCUCUUGGUUGUUUUGAGUAAAAAAAUGUUUUUGAUCAAUUCAGAACUUCUUCGUGUUUUUCAAGCUUUAGCCUCAACCAUUACAGGUAUUUUAUUUCUUACUUUUUUCCAGAUAUCUCUUCGAGAUUCAACCAAAGGUCAUCAAAACAUUUUAGAAAGGUAUUUUCUUGGCAUUUUCCGUUCUUUUGAGUAAAAAUAAAUUUUUGAAAAAUUUCAGAUUUUUUGAACUUUUUUGCAGGUCCGAGGUCAUGAAACUUUUCAAAAAUGACUAAGUCCUUAUCUUUAAAAUAAGUGCCUAAAAUUCACCAAAACUGCCCGAAAUGUUUUUCGUAAGGUGUAUUAAGACUCUCUUGGUUGUUUCGAGUAAAAAAAAUUUUGAAAAAUUUCAGAUAUUUUGAACUUUUUUGCAGGUCCGGGGUCAUGAAACUUUUCAAAAAUGACUAAAUCCUUAUCUUUAAAAUAAGUGCCUAAAAUUCACCAAAACUGCCCGAAAUGUUUUUCGCAACGUGUUUUAAGACUCUCUUGUUUGUUUCGAGUAAAUAAAGAUUUUUGAAGAAUUUCAGAUUUUUUGAACUUUUUUGCAGGUCCGGGGUUAUGAAACUUUUCAAAAAUGACUAAGUCCUUUUUUUUUAAAAUAAGUGCCAAAAAUUCACCAAAACUGCCCGAAAUGUUUUUCGUAAGGUGUAUUUAGACUCUCUUGGUUGUUUUGAGUAAAAAAGUUUUUUUGAAAAAUUUCAGAUUUUUUUAACUUUUUUGCUAGUCCGAGAUCAUGAAAUUUUUCAAAAAUGACUAAGUCCUUAUCUUUAACAUAAGAGCCUAAAAUUCACCGAAACUGCCCGAAAUGUUCUUAGGAACGUUAAUUAAUACUCUUUUGGUUGUUUUGAGUAAAAAAAUGUUUUUGAUCAAUUCAGAACUUCUUCGUGUUUUUCAAGCUUUAGCCUCAACCAUUACAGGUAUUUUAUUUCUUAUU